rnacentral:sRNA from 2 species
CGAGUUAGCCGCUAGGGUUCCGGCCUCCUGCCAGGAGGCGCUGGUCCGAGAGCGACUGCUUGCGAGGGACAAAUCCUCGCAGGUGCACGGCGGGACAAAAGCCCGGGAGAC